AACGAACGCUGGCGGCAGGCCUAACACAUGCAAGUCGAGCGAAGCCUUCGGGCUUAGCGGCGGACGGGUGAGUAACGCGUGGGAACGUGCCCUUUGGUACGGAAUAGCCCCGGGAAACUGGGAGUAAUACCGUAUGUGGUCGAGAGACGAAAGAUUUAUCGCCAAAGGAUCGGCCCGCGUUGGAUUAGGUAGUUGGUGGGGUAAUGGCCUACCAAGCCGACGAUCCAUAGCUGGUUUGAGAGGAUGAUCAGCCACACUGGGACUGAGACACGGCCCAGACUCCUACGGGAGGCAGCAGGGGGAAAUCUUAGACAAUGGGGGAAACCCUGAUCUAGCCAUGCCGCGUGAUCGAUGAAGGCCUUAGGGUUGUAAAGAUCUUUCAGUGGGGAAGAUAAUGACUGUACCCACAGAAGAAGCCCCGGCUAACUCCGUGCCAGCCGCCGCCGUAAAAC
rnacentral:rRNA from 1 species